UGAGUAAAGCGCGCAUUGACUUCGCCCUAACCAAGCUGCUGUUCCAGAACCUUUAUCAUGGAGGUCUUGGGACGGCGUUUUGGUUAGAGUGAGGAAGAUGUGGCGGCUUUUGGAGGGGCUUGCGGCCUAUCAGAUAGUUGGUGGGGUAACGGCCUACCAAGUCAUCGACGGGUAGCUGGUCUGAGAGGAUGGUCAGCCGGACUGGGACUGAGAUACGGCCCAG
rnacentral:rRNA from 1 species